GGCCUACGGGGCGCAGCAGUGAGGAAUAUUGGUCAAUGGACGAGAGUCUGAACCAGCCAAGUAGCGUGAAGGAUGACUGCCCUAUGGGUUGUAAACUUCUUUUAUAUGGGAAUAAAAUGUUCCACGUGUGGGAUUUUGUAUGUACCAUAUGAAUAAGGAUCGGCUAACUCCGUGCCAGCAGCCGCGGUAAUACGGAGGAUGCGAGCGUUAUCCGGAUUUAUUGGGUUUAAAGGGUGCGUAGGCGGAAUAUCAAGUCAGCGGUAAAAAUUCGGGGCUCAACCCCGGCGAGCCGUUGAAACUGGCUG
rnacentral:rRNA from 1 species